rnacentral:rRNA from 1 species
AACACGUGAGGAACCUGCCCUGAAGACGGGGAUAACAGAAGGAAACUUCUGCUAAUACCCGAUACCCCCCACCGGAUCGCAUGGUUUGGUGAGGAAAUGGAUUCCGCUUCAGGAGGGUCUCGCGGCCUAUCAGCUUGUUGGUGAGGUAACGGCUUACCAAGGCUUGGACGGGUAGCUGGUCUGAGAGGACGAUCAGCCACACUGGGACUGAGACACGGCCCAGACUCCUACGGGAGGCAGCAGUAAGGAAUAUUGCGCAAUGGGCGAAAGCCUGACGCAGCAACGCCGCGUGCGGGAUGAAGGCCCUCGGGCUGUAAACCGCUUUCAGUAGGGAAGAAAAUGACGGUACCUACAGAAGAAGCCCCGGCCAACUACGUGCCAGCAGCCGCGGUAACACGUAGGGGGCGAGCGUUGUCCGGAUUUAUUGGGCGUAAAGAGCUCGUAGGCGGUUUCGUAAGUCGGAUGUGAAAACUCCAGGCUCAACUUGGAGACGCCAUUCGAUACUGCGAUGACUUGAGUCCGGUAGGGGAGUGUGGAAUUCCUGGUGUAGCGGUGAAAUGCGCAGAUAUCAGGAGGAACACCGGCG